rnacentral:rRNA from 1 species
CAAUAGCGUAUAUUAAGGUUGUUGCAGUUAAAAAGCUCGUAGUUGGAUUUCGGGGCAGCCUGGCUGGUCCGCCGCAAGGCGAGUACUGGUCAGCCGCCCUUCCUCUCGAAAGCCCCGACUGCUCUUCGUUGCAGUGGUCGGGUAGUUCGGGACGUUUACUUUGAAAAAAUUAGAGUGUUCAAGGCAGGCCUACGCCUGAAUACAUUAGCAUGGAAUAAUGGAAGAGGACCUCGGUCCUAUUUUGUUGGUUUCCAGGGCCGAAGUAAUGAUUAAGAGGGACAGUUGGGGGCAUUCGUAUUUAAUUGUCAGAGGUGAAAUUCUCGGAUUUAUGAAAGACGAACAACUGCGAAAGCAUUUGCCAAGGAUGUUUUCAUUAA